rnacentral:rRNA from 1 species
AUGCAUCGGCGGACCCUGUUGGGCUGGGCCGCCGGGAUCAAUGAAUUGCUUGGCCUGGAACGGCCUGGACUGGGGUUGGACUCGACAGUGGGCGAACUACGAGACUUGAUACGGUCUUACAACCCAGCGGUGGUUUUUUUGUCGGAAACGAAGAAGAAUGCUAGAGCUAUGGAGAAACUUAAGUGGAGGUUGGGUUUCCGCAAUGGACUGGCAGUGGAUUGUAAUGGAAAAAGCGGUGGGCUUGCGCUAUGG